UACGUAGGCAGCAAGCGUUGUUCGGAGUUACUGGGCGUAAAGGGUGUGUAGGCGGUUGUUUAAGUUUGGUGUGAAAUCUCCCGGCUCAACCGGGAGGGUGCGCCGAAUACUGAGCGACUAGAGUGCGGGAGAGGAAAGUGGAAUUCCUGGUGUAGCGGUGAAAUGCGUAGAUAUCAGGAGGAACACCGGUGGUGUAGACGGCUUUCUGGACCGUAACUGACGCUGAGACACGAAAGCGUGGGUAGCAAACAGG
rnacentral:rRNA from 1 species